rnacentral:misc_RNA from 1 species
UGAACACUAACCAUUUCAAGAAUGAUCAUGCAAAGUUCCUGCAACAUUAAAUGCUAAUUCUAGAAGGAUAUAUUGACAUCAAGAAACAAAAUUACCUUAGUGCAUCCUUCCCUUGUGCAAUCAGCCUCCAAAUGGUAAUGUGUCCUAAAUUCCUAAUAACUCAUAGUUUUAUGAGACCGAGCUUGUUUCAUGGCUUAUACUUCAUAUUCUCAAGUUAUUAUCACCAAGAUUGAAAUGAAUUACCACAUUAUUAUCACAUGGGAAGUGAACCAUGGUCCACAUUACCCAGUCAUCUAAUCACAGGCACACAAAGUUGAAUUCAAGGUCAAGUAAGUUAUCUGUAUAGUUGAAAAUUUGAUGCCUCCAAUAGAAAUAUAGAGUUAUAAAUUCUGAUUUUGCUAUGAAAUUUGUAAUUCCAAAUAUAUUCACAAAUGCUUAAAAUCGCACUACAGUGUCCUCCCACAGAAGAAAAUCUACAUUUAGAACCACAAAAAAUAAAGAAUUCCCAGUUCAAGUGACAGAUUUAAGUAGUCAGAAAGGAAAUGGACAAGUAACAUACCUGCAAAUCUGGUGCUCUGUGUG